rfam:Stegodyphus mimosarum contig102671, whole genome shotgun sequence.
GCCUUCGUGGUGUAGUGGUCAGCACCCUCACCGCGUAUUCGAGAGACCCGUGGUUCGAAUCCUGGCGAGAGCA